CUACGGGGAUGAUCUCAAAAGUUGAACUCUCUCUUUCUGAUGAAUUAGUGGAGAAAACAUAAAAAUUCUGAGUAGC
ensembl:snoRNA SNORD26 Small nucleolar RNA SNORD26